AACGAACGCUGGCGGCAGGCCUAACACAUGCAAGUCGAGCGAAGCCUUCGGGCUUAGCGGCAGACGGGUGAGUAACGCGUGGGAACGUACCUUUUGGUUCGGAACAACACAGGGAAACUUGUGCUAAUACCGGAUAAGCCCUUACGGGGAAAGAUUUAUCGCCGAAAGAUCGGCCCGCGUCUGAUUAGCUAGUUGGGAGGGUAACGGCCUACCAAGGCGACGAUCAGUAGCUGGUCUGAGAGGAUGAUCAGCCACAUUGGGACUGAGACACGGCCCAAACUCCUACGGGAGGCAGCAGUGGGGAAUAUUGGACAAUGGGGGCAACCCUGAUCCAGCCAUGCCGCGUGAGUGAUGAAGGCCCUAGGGUUGUAAAGCUCUUUUGUGCGGGAAGAUAAUGACGGUACCGCAAGAAUAAGCCCCGGCUAACUUCGUGCCAGCCGCCGCAGUAAGAC
rnacentral:rRNA from 1 species